rnacentral:rRNA from 1 species
GACGUAGGGGACGAGCGUUGUCCGGAUUCAUUGGGCGUAAAGGGCUCGUAGGCGGCCAACUAAGUCAGACGUGAAAUCCCUCGGCUUAACCGGGGAACUGCGUCUGAUACUGGAUGGCUAGAGGUUGGGAGAGGGAUGCGGAAUUCCAGGUGUAGCGGUGAAAUGCGUAGAUAUCUGGAGGAACACCGGUGGCGAAGGCGGCAUCCUGGACCAAUUCUGACGCUGAGGAGCGAAAGCCAGGGGAGCAAACGGG